GCCUGGGUGGCUCAGCGGUUGAGCAUCUGCCUUCAGCCCAGGGCAUGAUUCUGGAGUUGUGGGAUCGAGUCCCACAUUGGGCU
rnacentral:tRNA from 1 species